GUCAAGGAGCAUGCGCAGGGUAGCUUCCACCAGAAGUACAUGAGAAGGGAAGGAAACGGCCACGCACAACUGUUGGGGCCUGAGGUGUCCUUUUCUCGGCGCUUGGCAUCCUGCUCCGGCCGUGGGGCUGGGGUAGCCAGAAGAAGAGUUAGCGUUGGUGUUCGAAGCCAAGUCAGAACAGGACAUCGACUUUUCCACUGGGGACAGUAAGAGCUAGGUAACAGAAUCCUCAAGUGAGUGAAAAUCCUUCCCACCAGUAUUUGCGCUUUCACUAUCUGCACUGGCCAGUAUGGUAGCCCCUACCCACAGAUGAUAAAACUGAGGCCCCAGCAUGUGGCCACCCAGAGGUCACACGGCUAGUGAAGCGGUGUGUGUGUUCAGUCACCCAGUCGUGUCCAACUGUGCUACCCUAUGGACUAGAGCCCACCAGGCCCCUCUGUUUGUGGAACUUUCCAGGCAAGAAUACUGGAAUGGGUUGCCAUCUCCUACUCCAGAGGAUCUUCCUGACCCAGGGAUGGAAUCUGCAUCUCUUGUGUCUCCUGCAUUGGCAGGCAGAUUCUUUACCGCUGUGCCGCCUGGGAAACCCUUGAAACCAGGUCUGACUGAUUUUAAAGCACGUGUCCUAAUCACCGGGUUGCUGCUGCUGCUGCUAAGUCGCUUCAGUCGUGUCCGACCCUGUGCGACCCCAGAGAUGGCAGCCCACUAGGCUCUUCUGUCCCUGGGACUCUCCAGGCAAGAACACUGGAGUGGGUUAUAAGCCUUAAAUGCCCCCGGCAGCUGUCCAUCAUGCUCAGCAGUGAUUUCUAAACACUUUUUGUGAAAGGAAGCAUUUUAUCUGGGAAAAUCUUAUAUAGAACCCCAGUCUGUAAAACAAAUAAAUGUUGUACAACUCCAGGUAAAGUGAGAGUGACGUCAUAGAUCCAUGCCAGUUUAAUUCUGGCUCCGUUUAGGCUGUGUGAGCUGAAACAAAUUACUCAUCUCUCUGAGAUUCAGUUUCUUCAUUUGCGAGAUGGGAUAAGGAUACCAACCUAAUAGCUUUGUUAUGUGGAUCAUCUGAGACAAUAUAUGCAACUCACUUGGCAUGAAGCCUGGCUUGUGAUAAGAACCAAGUUAGAGUGGCUGUUGUUGCAGCUGUGGAUGUGUUUGUUGCAGGAAUCUUUUCACUGACCCCGGAAUGAAGUGGAAAUUUCUCAGCCUUGUAUUCAUGGCCCUCCACCAUCUGACCCAACCUGAAUUUCCAGCCUUCAGCACCUACACUGUAUUACACAACCCCAAUCCAAUGUCCUGUUAUACCAGUUCUGCGUUUAUGCUCUGCCCACUGGGGGAACCCUCCACAGUCCUCCUCCUUGCUCCAAAAGUACACUUUAAAAAAAUACUAAUGAACCUGUUUGCAGGACAGAAAUAGAGACACAGACGUAGAGGACUGAUUUGUGGACACAGUUGGGGAAGGAGAGGGUGCGAUGAAUUAAGAGAGUAACAUUGACAUAUUGACACUGCCAUGUGUAAAACAGAUAGCCAGUGGGAAGCUGCUGUAUAUCACAGGAGCUCAACUCAGUGUUCUGUGAUGACCUACCGGUGGGACGGGGUGUGCAUGGGAGGGGGGCUCACAAGGGAGGGGAUAUACCCAUACAUAAAGCUGAUUUACAUUGUUGUGCAGGGAAAGUCCCUUUCCUAUGUUUUCCUUGAAGAAACAUGGGAAAUCCCAAGAGAUUUAGUUGAUUUCCUCUCCCUGGAAUCCUUUACCAGGUUCUUCUAUACUUUUUUUUUUCCUGCAGACUGGGAGUUAGAGCUACAAUGGAUGCUAGAGUUUUAAUUUGAUUUGAAGUUGACUGUUGGCAAGAAUACUUCAUAGAUGGUGAUCUGUCUUUUCUCUUGAAUCAGGUCUCCUCAUCUUUCUUGUAGUAUCUGGACAGAUCCAUGAGUCCACCGAUUGUCAGCCUGAUCCAGCCUUCUCAAGUUCCCUGCCAGUGUUUCUCCUGAUGGUUUUAGCAGUCACUGAUGCUAGCCUAGACCCAUUCUUUUAUUAAGUUUUGCAAAAUUGUGAUACUAUAAUUCUGUUAAUCCUUCUGCAUUUAUUAGCUUCAAAUUCUUGUGUAAAGAAAAACUAUUUGUUUGCCCAGAGGUACAUUUCCUACAGGGAAGAGAAUAAACACUUGGUUCAUUCCCUUUAUUUAGCGGUUUUCAGAAUAAUGAAUUUGGUUCCCAAGCAGCCUCUAAAGGUUACAGAUGAGUUUGUUGGUCUUUUUUAACCCUACUAUGAAUUCUUCAAUGCCUAGCUCCAAAGUAAUUUCCCCUAGUUUUUUACCCUAACUCAAAAGAAAUUUCUCCCUUCUGAAUGUAAGCACAUCUUUUCUAACGGUAUCCAGGGCUUUCUACCACUUUCUCUUUAUCUUCCACUGGAUUAGAAGCUCCUGCACUUAACAUAAUGCCUCAGGCAGUGUUUCUCAAGCUUCGUGGUGCUUUCAUUUGAAUUUUAUGGGGAGCUGCAGUGGGGAGGGGGAGCAGAGUCUUGGUUAAAAUGCAUAUUCUGAUUCACUGGCUCUGGGAUGGGCUGAGAUUCUGCUUCCUCACAAGCACCAAGUGGUGCCAAUGCGGCUGGUCCAAGGAGCACACUUUGAGUAGCAAAACCGUAUGGUGAAUGUAUGGGAAAUUUCACUCACUCAGUAAGAAGUGCUCACUCAGACUAGUUCAUGGGCUAGGCCCUAAUACAUUAAAAUGCAGAAGGUUUUUUUGGUGGGUUUAAUUUGUUUUAUUAGAGUUUUUUUUUAAUUUAUCUUUUUGAAUAUAUAAUAGUACAUAUGGUAAGAAAAAAAUUAUUUUUCAUAAAAUCCAAAAGGGUACACAGUGAAAGUACAUCAGCCCUCCCUCAAAGAUGAUCACUGUUACUUCUUGAAUUUUAUUCUAAAAGUACUUUAUGCAUGCAUGCAUGCUGAGUCAUUUCAGUUGUGUCCGACUCUGUGAGACCCUAUGGGCUGCAGCCUGCCGGGCUCCUCUGUCCAUGGGAUUCUCCAGGCGAGAACAGUGAAGUGGUUGUUGUGCCCUCUUUCCAGGGAUCUUCUCGACCCAGGGAUCAAACCCUGCAGAUAUCUCUUGCAUCUGUCUUCAUUGGCAGGUGGGUUCUUUACCGCUAGUGCCACCUGCGAAGUCCAACUUCAUACAUACAAGAGCUACCAUCUUUUUUUUAACAUACUAUUCCCCGCUCUGCCACUUUCUUUUUCCAUUUUACUAUAUCGUAGAGAUUAUUCUAUAUUUCAACAUAUAUUUCUGCAUCUUGUUAAUGAGUAGCAUAAUGUCCACACAGAAUGCAUUUGUUGUUUCUAUGAAAUGUAGAGUGAAAUGGCUUAGCUUCUUCCUUAUCCUACACAUUCCCCAGAGAGAACAGGUAUCUUGUUUUCUGUUCUUUGAAUCCUCUGAAUUAUCUUACCCAUGUUGGUCCAUCUUUGGCAAUUUCAUUUAAUCUAGAGUACAUACCAGAGAAGGUAAUGGCAACCCACUCCAGUACUCUUGCCUGGAAAAUCCCAUGGACAGAGGAGCCUGGUAGGCUGUGGUCCAUGGGGUCACCAAGAGUCGGACACUUACUGAGCGACUUCACUUUCACUUUUCACUUUCAUGCAUUGGAGAAGGAAAUGGCAACCGAUUCCAGAGUUAGACAUGACUGAAGCGACUUAGCAGCAGCAGCAGCAGCUGAGUACAUACAUCACCCAUUUACAAAAGCAUGUCUGCAUUUUUUUUCCCUUCAGAGUCCAAUCUUCCUAGACUCAUGCUGCUGCUGCUGCUGCUACUAAGUCACUUCAGCCGUGUCCGACUCUGUGCGACCCCAUAGACGGCAGCCCACCAGGCUCCGCUGUCCCUGGGAUUCUCCAGGCAAGAACACUGGAGUGGGUUGCCAUUUCCUUCUCCAAUGCAUGUAAGUGAAAACUGAAAGUGAAGUCACUCAGUCGUGUCCGACUCUUAGCGACCCCAUGGACUGCAGCCUACCAGGCUCCUCCGUCCAUGAGAUUUUCAAGGCAAGAGUACUAGAGUGGGGUGCCAUUGCCUUCUCCGCCUAGACUCAUAAAUUGUUUCUUAACUCUGUAACCCCUCAGCACUCACAGAUUACUCUUGUGUUAAUAAAAUAUUCAGUUGUCCAAAAAGGUCGUUCGGGUUUUUCCAUGCCAUCCUCGGGAAAUCCUGAACGAACUUUUCGGUCAACUCAAAUGUUAUUAUGCAAUACUGAAUACAUAAAUGUGUAUUAUUGGUGGGGUUCAGUACGCACUAUCCCCAAAUACUCUGCCUUAGCAUAUUGAAUAUUUCAAGCUGAAGGAAUCCAAGAAAAUAGAUGCAGGAAGGACUCUCUGACCUUCCCUAGAAGCAGGUCACAAGACCCUCAUGUGUGAAGCGCCCUCCCUCCACCCAAGGGAAGAGAUCAUGCUUGCCUGCAAGAUGGAGGGACCCCCAAGAGGAAUAUUAUUGAACACACCUAAGUUUCCCCAGUUGACUGAGCCCAUAUCCCAUUUGUCCUAUCCCAUUUCACCAUGACUGACCACUCUUCAUCAAACCUAGCACAAAAACAGACAAGCCUGACUGCUUCUUCAGGCUUCAUUUAUUUGUGAAGGCUCCCAUGUCACAUAAAACUUAUACUAAAUACAUUUGUAUGCUUUUCUUUUGUUAACAUGUCUUUUGUUUCAGAGACCCAGUCAAGAACCUGGAAGAGCAGAAGGAAAAGGUUUAUUUUUCCUCCCCUCCAAUAUAUUUAAGGAAAAAAUAAAAACGUUAAUAAUAGAAGCCUCUGUCACUUCCUACUGCCUCCAAGUAUCCCCUCCCUGUCGCAUGAUGGUCUCUCUACCUACGAGGUAACUACCAUCCUGAAUUUUGCAUUAAUCAUUCUCCAGUUUUCCUUUCUCAGUGGUUCUCAAGCCGUUAGAAUCACCGAAAGAGCUUGUUAAAACAUGAAUUUCUGGGUUCCACUCCCCAAGUUCUGAUACAGUAGAUCUGGGGCGAGGCCCAAGAAUUUGUGCCUCUUGUAAAUUCUCAUGUGGUGCCGAUGCUGCUGAUCCCAGACCUACACUUUGAGAACUGCUUUAUCUCAAAGACACUCCUGC
ensembl:lncRNA